CCUACGGGCGGCUGCAGUGGGGAAUAUUGGGCAAUGGGCGAAAGCCUGACCCAGCAACGCCGCGUGAGGGAAGAAGGCCUUCGGGUUGUAAACCUCUGUCCUUGGUGACGAAAAAAAUGACGGUAGCCAAGGAGGAAGCCCCGGCUAACUACGUGCCAGCAGCCGCGGUAAUACGUAGGGGGCGAGCGUUGUCCGGAAUUACUGGGCGUAAAGGGUGCGUAGGCGGUAGUUUAAGUUGGAUGUGAAAUCCCCGGGCUUAACUUGGGGUGUGCAUCCAAAACUGGGCGACUAGAGUGCAGGAGAGGAAAGCGGAAUUCCUAGUGUAGCGGUGAAAUGCGUAGAUAUUAGGAGGAACACCAGUGGCGAAGGCGGCUUUCUGGACUGUAACUGACGCUGAGGCACGAAAGCGUGGGGAGCAAACAGGCUUAGAUACCCGAGUAGUC
rnacentral:rRNA from 1 species